AACAUCCAGUAAUAGCUGUCCAUUUUCGGAGCAAUUUUCAAGGCUUGAUACAUUCUGUGGAAUCUGUCUAGCCCAUCACUCAGACUGUGGACAAGGAAUAGUGUUACAGAAGACAAGCAUAUCAGUUCUUGUCUGUUUCAGUCUAUCUGGUGAAGCAUCAAGUGUGUGGGAGCACUUGGUCCAGAGCAAGGAUGUUCUUUACAGAAGAAUUAGCAUGAUGAGCUCACUGGUUUUCGUCUGCUUGCUUGUUUGCAUGCUUUGUGUUUGUCCAGUGGGUUGGACCAACCAAUGGACUUGCACGAAUAGAGAUUCUCAGGUAAGCAAAUUCCACAAGCAGCUUGACAGCUACACAAGACUGAGAAGGCAAAGGCUACAGAGCGGAAGGCUCUUAAAUGAAAUACCAGUGGUCCUCACCUCUUGUCUUCAGUUCUCAGUGACCCAGGUUUAGCAAGAGAAGUUGGUACAGCUAUUUCAUUCUCAUCUCCAGAGUAACCCAGCACA